CCUGGAACUCACUAUGUAGCCCAGGCUGGUUUUGAACUCACAGCAAUCCUCCUGCCCCGCCUCCUGAGUGCUAGGAU
rnacentral:miRNA from 1 species